rnacentral:lncRNA from 1 species
UGAAACUCUCUCUUGUCUAUUCUCUCUGAGACCACACUCCAACCCAAAUCACCACCACCCAAAACAACCCUAAUAGCGUCGAUUCCUACCCGUUCCAUGGAUUUCUAUAGCUAUUGGAGACUUGAAUAGGCCCCCCUACUUCUCUGGUUUCUCGAUUUUGUGAUUUCCUGGAAGGAUCUUGAAGAGAUCUAGUCCAGAUAUUGUUCAACACUCUCCAAGAGGUUUUCUAUAGUCUGUGAGUGCUUUCUAUCCAUGUUUUAUAGCUCAAAUAUCUUAUCCAAGAGCAGAUUCUCUUUACCCUUUCGUUUUUUUCAAGAAAGCUAAUGUUUGGACUUGAAUCUGUCCAAACCCUUGUAGAUCUGCAGUGAUUUUGAAUUCGUUACUAAUGUUUCCU